ACCGUACUCCUACGGGAGGCAGCAGUGGGGAAUUUUGGACAAUGGGGGCAACCCUGAUCCAGCAAUGCCGCGUGAGUGAAGAAGGCCUUCGGGUUGUAAAGCUCUUUUUGUCAGGGAAGAAACGGUAGUAGCUAAUAUCUAUUACUAAUGACGGUACCUGAAGAAUAAGCACCGGCUAACUACGUGCCAGCAGCCGCGGUAAUACGUAGGGUGCAAGCGUUAAUCGGAAUUACUGGGCGUAAAGCGUGCGCAGGCGGUUGUGUAAGUCAGAUGUGAAAUCCCCGGGCUCAACCUGGGAAUUGCAUUUGAGACUGCACGGCUAGAGUGUGUCAGAGGGGGGUAGAAUUCCACGUGUAGCAGUGAAAUGCGUAGAUAUGUGGAGGAAUACCGAUGGCGAAGGCAGGUCCCUGGGCUGAUACUGACGCUCAUGCACGAAAGCGUGGGGAGCAAACAGGAUUAGAUACCCGGGUAGUCCUUGAC
rnacentral:rRNA from 1 species